rnacentral:rRNA from 1 species
UACGUAGGGGGCAAGCGUUGUCCGGAAUUAUUGGGCGUAAAGAGCUCGUAGGCGGUUUGUCGCGUCGGCUGUGAAAUCCCGAGGCUCAACCUCGGGUCUGCAGUCGAUACGGGCGGACUGGAGUUCGGCAGGGGAGACUGGAAUUCCUGGUGUAGCGGUGAAAUGCGCAGAUAUCAGAAGGAACACCGAUGGCGAAGGCAGGUCUCUGGGCAUUAACUGACGCUGAGGAGCGAAAGCAUGGGGAGCGAACAGG